UGUGCCAGGGCGGACUGC
rnacentral:misc_RNA from 1 species